GUCGAGAAUCUUUCACAAUGGGGGCAACCCUGAUGGAGCGACGCCGCGUGGAGGAUAAGGUCUUCGGAUUGUAAACUCCUGUCAUGCGUGAACAAGGUUGCUUGGUUAAUACCUGGGCAAAUUGAUGGUAACGCAAGAGGAAGAGACGGCUAACUCUGUGCCAGCAGCCGCGGUAAUACAGAGGUCUCAAGCGUUGUUCGGAAUCACUGGGCGUAAAGGGUGCGUAGGUGGCGUGGUAAGUCAGAUGUGAAAGCCCGGGGCUCAACCUCGGAACUGCAUCCGAUACUGCCAUGCUAGAGUACUGGAGAGGUGACUAGAAUUCUCGGUGUAGCAGUGAAAUGCGUAGAUAUCGAGAGGAAUUCCAAAGGCGUAGGCAGGUCACUGGACAGUUACUGACACUGAGGCACGAAGGCCAGGGGAGCGAACGGGAUUAGAAACCCGGGUAGUCC
rnacentral:rRNA from 1 species